AAAUUAAACAUUUCGGCAAAGCUUUUUAGGUUUUUGGGUUCAUAAACAUUGUUCUUGUUCCCGCUCCCUCCAUCUGCUAUUUCCCGCUCACUCCAUCCAGUCCCGACAAUGAAGUCAACCAUAGCAAUCCGCGAAGUCGACAUCUGCUAGUUCAGCUCCACCUCCUUCCUAUUUUUCUUCCUCUUUCUACAUAUUCAAUCUGUCCCUCAGACCCUAAUACCCAGAAAUCAAUCAGAACUGUCCGUCUCUCGCUUUGUGGCCUGCAUCUUGUCGAUCUCCACUGUCAAAACAGAGAUUGUUCACUGUUGAAGAAUUGGCUUUGUACAAUGGGACUGAUCAAAGUUUGCCAAUCUUGUUAUGUAACUUUGGUUUGCAUUGGAAUAUUUGGAUAUAUAAUCUAGAUGAUGCUGAUAUUUGCAGAGAUUGUUCACUGUUGAAGAAUUGGCUUUGUACAAUGGGACUGAUCAAAGUUUGCCAAUCUUGUUGGUUUUUGAUGUGACGAAAGGAAAGUCUCAUUACGGUGAGGGUGGGGGUUAUUAUCAUUUUUCUAAAAGGUACUAGCUGAUAAGAUAAAUCUUCCAUGUAUGCUGGUCAAAGGUAGCUACUACACAAGUACUGAUGAUGGAGCUGUAAACUUGAUUAAAAUUGAUAGUGGAAUUGGAAGUGAAUAUAUUAUUGAUCUGAUGGGUGCUCCUGGAACACUAAUUCAUGCUGAGAUGUGGUUCAUGAUGUGUCUUAGCAUAUGGAAGAGCUUUUUGGUCUCUAAUGCCUCUUGAUCAAGGUGGAAUAUAUGCCCCAAUUGAGCUUUCAUCUUCUUUGUCAUUCUUGUCAGUUCAUGUCACUAUAUUUGAACAGCUAGCAUUUAUCUUGCUUAUAGUACAACUGGUGUAUGUACGAUGCCUUUUAUAUUUCUCUAUUGUACUUAUGUAAUCUCUCAUGUCAUAUACCUUACUUGUCAGAUUGUCAAACUAGCUAGUUAAUUAAGUGCUUAAUCUAAAGAUUGUCUGAUUAUGUAUAUUCCAAGUUUGAGAACAUAUCUUUUUUCUUGUCUGGACAUUAUUCCACCAUGUUAAAAGAAAAACCUUAGUUAUGACUCUUCAGUAUUUCUUGAUGUUUUUGAUUUUGAUGAAGAGACUUUGCCAAUUUGGUUUUUCCAUACAUAUGACUUUGCCUGAAUUAUUUUUUAUUGUUUUUGGUUACAGGUUCUUUGCAUUAUAAUCUCGUUGUUUGAUCUGUGUCAUUUGUCUUCCUCUUAUCAUAAGCUCUGUCUACUGGUUUUGAUUCCAGGUUCAAGAUGCAACCAGUGGCCAUGAAAUUAAAAGGGAGUCCAUAGGAGAAGGAGUUCAUCCACAUUCAACUAGUGAUCAAGAAAUUGAGCAUGCUCCAGUACUCACCAAGCCCCUCUAGUUAAUGAUAAAUAGUAUUGUGGUCAAGGAUGCUUUUGAACAAUAUUAAGUUUGGCAACUUUUCCUUUCAGUUAUCUAGUAUGGUAGGACAUUAUAAUUAUGAAAGACUGUAGUUUGGUUAAUUUCAGUUUGUACUUGGUAGUGGAAUAUAACUUGGCACUUAUCUUUUGAUUAUAUAAUUUAAGUUGUGAGAUAGCUAUAA